GUCACCACUAAGCCGUCAGGGCUCCUUGAGAUGAUGUAACAGCCACGAUUUUGUUUUUGAUUACUUCAGCGUCAGCUCUUGGGUGUUGGGGUUAUUCUUCUGGGGCUUUCAUUUGGGCCGCAUGUAAAAGUGGCUUUGUGUGAAAGAAAGAUGCAUUCCUCGUGGUCUUGGAUGAUGGGUUUCCAUUGAAAGGACAGGUGGGGUUUGGUGUGGUGUGAUCCAGGAUUUGGCUGGGAUUGGUCUACAAUAGUUACUUCUACCUUUUAUUUUGGAUUUCACAAGGAGAAAACUUCAAGGAACUACAGAAUUCAGUUACAUUUGUUACAGGUUUACAUGUUCUACAUAAACUCUUUUUCCGUCAACCUGGAGUCAAAAUAUCUGUGAACAUUUUGUUGCAAAAGUGACUGUUUCAUGUUGAGACAAUGGUUGCAUGCCCGUUACUUUUGGGUGUGGAAAUUUAAUUAACACAUGUAAAUUUAAAAUGGUUGGGCUAUCUAAUUUGUCCUGGGUUCACUAAAGGAGGAACUAUUGAAAGAUAAUAAUAACAACAAAUCCCAUUGCUUUUACUUGGAUGCAAACUCAUGGUAACCCCAGCAGUCCCAAAGUAGACUGCUCCGUAAGACUUUCUGCUUCUGCUUCUGCAUCUUUUCCUCCUCUUCCUCCUCCUCGUCCUCUUUCUCCUCCACUUCCUCUUCCUCCUCCUUCCUCUUGCUAUGUGUGGAUGUUAUCUUCACAGCAGUUACCAGGCCUUUCUUUCUCCUGCACUGGGUUUGAACCUCCAAACUUCACACAACUCACAGGAGCAAACCAUCCUAUGGCAGUGGAUCGUGUAGAGAAGAACGUUCAGAAAAGAAGCCGCUGUGCAGCAUGCCAUUGAUUUCUUCACCUGGAGCAGCCGAGGAUGGAGAAGCGGGAAUCACAGAAAGAAAGCAAACCUGUGAGGCUCGCCUCCAAGAAGACCUUGGACAAGAGACCAGGAGAACGCAGUCAAAAUCAAAGUGGUAGUAUGCCACCUUGUGGAUGUCUGAGGAAUUGAAAUCUUGCAGAUCAUUUUGGAGGUGAGGACAUGAUUUCCAUGACCGCUCCCUCCCAGUACAGCCUGAAUUAUGCAAGCAACGUACGAAAAGGACCGGGGGAAAGAUUACUCAAAUAUUUGUGGAAUAUGUGACCAAAAAAUUACAUCCUGCUAAUUUUGAAAGCAGCACACUGAAUGAAGUUUUGCCACCAAUUUUCUAGACAGCCUGCAUUUAUCAGUGGAGCCCUGUUAGUGAUUAAGAGGUGGCUGUGAGCUGCAUGGUCCGCAGCUUCAGCUGGCAAGGCUCACUUC